rnacentral:rRNA from 1 species
GGAUAAGCGGAAGAAAUUCCGUCUAAUACCGCAUAACACCUUUAGGAGACAUCUUCUUGGGGUCAAAGGAGGCGACUCCGGCAUAGGAUGGCCAUGCGUCGCAUUAGCUAGUCGGCGGGGUAACGGCCCACCGAGGCGACGAUGCGUAGGGGUUCUGAGAGGAAGGUCCCCCACACUGGUACUGAGACACGGACCAGACUCCUACGGGAGGCAGCAGUGAGGAAUAUUGGUCAAUGGGCGCAAGCCUGAACCAGCCAAGUCGCGUGAGGGAUGACGGUCCUAUGGAUUGUAAACCUCUUUUGUCGGGGAGCAAGGCGCGGUACGAGUACCGUGAAGGAGAGUACCCGAAGAAAAAGCAUCGGCUAACUCCGUGCCAGCAGCCGCGGUAAUACGGAGGAUGCGAGCGUUAUCCGGAUUUAUUGGGUUUAAAGGGUGCGUAGGCGGAUUAGUAAGUCAGCGGUAAAAAUGCGGUGCUCAACGCCGUAUCGCCGUUGAAACUGCGGGUCUUGAGUGAGCGAGAAGUAUGCGGAAUGCGUGGUGUAGCGGUGAAAUGCAUAGAUAUCACGCAGAACUCCGAUUGCGAAGGCAGCAUACCGGCGCUCAACUGACGCUGAGGCACGAAAGCGUGGGGAUCGAACAGGAUUAGAUACCCUGGUAGUCCACGCAGUAAACGAUGAAUGCUAACUGUCCGGACCGAUUAAGGGCUGGGU